rnacentral:rRNA from 1 species
UACGUAGGUGGCGAGCGUUAUCCGGAUUUACUGGGUGUAAAGGGCGUGUAGGCGGGUUUGCAAGUCGGGUGUGAAAUAUCCAGGCUUAACUUGGAUGGGUCAUCCGAAACUGCAGAUCUUGAGUGCUGGAGAGGAUAGUGGAAUUCCUGGUGUAGCGGUAAAAUGCGUAGAUAUUAGGAGGAACACCAGUAGCGAAGGCGGCUCUCUGGACUGUAACUGACGCUGAGGCACGAAAGCGUGGGGAGCAAACAGGAUUAGAUACCCGGGUA